rnacentral:rRNA from 1 species
GAGUUUGAUCGUGGCUCAGAACGAACGCUGGCGGCAGGCUUAACACAUGCAAGUUGAACGCGUGUAGCAAUACACGAGUGGCGCACGGGUGAGUAACGCGUGGGAAUAUGCCCUUCAGUACGGAAUAACGUCGGGAAACUGACGCUAAUACCGUAUAAUGUCUACGGACCAAAGAUUUAUCGCUGAAGGAUUAGCCCGCGUUGGAUUAGCUAGUUGGUGAGGUAACGGCUCACCAAGGCGAUGAUCCAUAGCUGGUCUGAGAGGAUGAUCAGCCACACUGGGACUGAGACACGGCCCAGACUCCUACGGGAGGCAGCAGUGAGGAAUAUUGGACAAUGGGGGCAACCCUGAUCCAGCCAUGCCGCGUGAGUGAUGAAGGCCCUCGGGUUGUAAAGCUCUUUUAUCCCUGAAGAUAAUGACGGUAAGGGAAGAAAAAGCCACGGCUAACUUCGUGCCAGCAGCCGCGGUAAC